CGCACUUUGUCCUCACUGGCAUAGACACGUAUUCUGGAUAUGGCUUUGCCUUUGCCACACGUAAUGCUUCUACUAAAACUACCAUCUGUGAACUCACAGAAUGCCUUAUCCAUCACCAUGGAAUUACACAUAGCAUUGCCUCUGACCAAGGAACACAUUUUAUAGCUAAAAAAGUGAGACAGUGAGCUCAUGCUCAUAGAAUUCACUGGUCCUACCACGUCCCUCACCAUCCAGAAGCAGCUGGAUUGAUAGAUGGAAUGGCUUUUUGAAGACACAGUUACAAUGACAGCUAGGUGGCAACAGUUUGCAAGGCUGGGGUAAGGUACUUCAACAGGCUGUAUAUGCUUUAAAUCAACGUCCAUUAUUUGGCCCCAUAGCCAGGAUUCAUGGGUUCAGGAAUCAAGGAGUAGAAGUAGGAAUGGUGCCACUUACCAUUAUCCCUAGUGAUCCACUAGAAAAAUUUUUGCUUCUUGUCCUCUUGACUUCAUGUUCUGCUGGCCUAGAAGUUUUGGUUCCAGAGUGGGGAAGGCUUAUACCAGGAAGCACAACAAUGGUGCCAUUGAACUGGAAGCUAAGACUCCCUCCUGGUCAUUUUGGUUUCAUUAUGUCUCUGAGGAAACAAGCUAAAAAGGGAGUCACAGUGUUGCCAGGUGUGACUGACCCAGACUACCAAGGGGGAGUUGUACUACUACUCCACAAUGGAGGAAAGAAAGAAUAUACUUGGAGUGCAGGAGAUUCCUUAGGGCGCCUUUUAGUACUACCAUGCCCUGUCAUUAAGGUUAACGGGAAAUUACAGCAACCUAAUACAGACAAAGUGACAAGUGGUCCAGAACCUUCAGGAAUGAAGGUGUGGGUCACUCCACCAGGGGAAGAACCCAGACCUGCUGAGGUGCUUGCUGAAGGCCAAGGGAAUACAGAAUGGGUAGAGGAAGAAGGAAGUUCUAAAUAUCAGCUACUACCCCGUGAUCAGUUACAGAAAAGAGGAUUGUAAUUACUAUUUCUGCCCAAAUAUGGUUUUAAUGUAACAUAAUGUUAGACUUAAUGCUGUUUUUUUGGGAAUUGUUAAACUUGUGUUAUAAUGUUCAGGUUAUAAACUGAUAGGAGUAAGCAUUAACCAAAGAAAAGUUACAUUGUGUAUUUUGGUAGGGGAAUUACUGUGUUUCCUUUUGUAGAAGGACAGUUAUAACAUGUUAGGCAUAAUUAUAUACAUGUCUGUGUAUCUGGAACUAGUUUAAAGAAAUGUGUCUGGUUGCCACGUUGACAAGGGGUGGAUUGUAGUGGUUGAUUGAAGGUGUCAACUUGAGACAUUUAGAAGCUUAAUUAAAUAGGUUUAGCAAUUCUACACACAAGGGUGUAGAAGACCCACCCUAGUGUGGCUCAUCACCUGGAGAUAUGAAAGGGAAGGAGGAAGGAAGAAUGCAUUCCAUUCUUGGGAGAAGCUCCAGUCUUCACCUUGGUUUGGACGUCAUCUCCAGGCUUCCAGUGUAGACGCUUCAGCUUUCUGGCACAGACUCUUCAGCCUUUCAUAGAGGAGCAUUCGGCCUUCUGUUGCAGACCCAUCAGUCUAACCUGUGUGGACUUGCACAAGACACGACGGUGAACUCCAGACCUUGGAUUGAAUCCUUUGGUUUCCAGUUUGUAGACAUCCUCUGCAAGCUUCCUCAUCGGACUCUGUGGCUGACCAUCUGUUCCUCCAAAGUCACUCACCUCAGAAUCCAGCUUUAUGCCUGAUACUUUGGUUCUCUGUGGAGGAUGAGUUUUAAAGAUGGAAUUUGAAGAUUUUAUGUGCAUCCACUUUUGGGAUUUCUUUAAUUCAGGAAGACUCAAGUGAGCUCCAGGAUGUUGGGAUUCAAAAUACUGCUAAAUAGAAAACAUGACACUAUUGUAGAAAGCUAAUGUUGGCUUCUAUCAAGACGAGCUGAGGAGAGCAGCAAGAUUUGUUAAGAAGAAAUGGAGGGGCUGGGGAUUUAGCUCAGCGGCAUAAGCGCCUGCUUUGCAAGCAGGCAGUCGUGAGUUCAAUCCCUAGUACCCAUAAAAAGGAAAAAGCCAAAAAAAAAAAAAAAGAAGAAAUGGAACAUUUCCAGGCCCAUUUCAAAUCGUUAUUUUAAAACCUCUCAUGAGAUCUUUCCUUUGAAGAGUGGCUAAGGAACUCUGUCACGUUUCCUCAAAAGGCGCUGAAAUGCAGUGGCAUUUCAUCUUAGAUCGCGACCAGCCUUCUUGCUGCAAGUGGUCGGAAUGUUUGUAAGGUAUAGAAAAACAUGAGUAUUUUAUAACAAAACUAGUACUGUUCUCUCCUCCAGGGAUUUUGAAUAAACAGUAUUAUCUGACAAGAGGAAUGUAAUAGUGAAAACUUAGAAGUUUUAGUUUAGGAAAGAAAAGACAAGUAACCUCCAACAUCCUCAGGUUAACAUGGUCUGAACCCUGACUUCAAGAGACAAGGUACAGAAGGCAAAUGGAGUUGUGCUCCUGGGGUCUGAGCAGGUGGUAGCCAGCUCCGAGAGGGCUUGCCAGGAUCCCCACUGCCUGGCUUAGUCUGUGUAUUGACAGCCUGCAGCAGAAAGCACAGUGUGUGACUUUUGAUGCUAUAAUCUCAAAGGCCCUACAGUUUGUCUUGGUAUUUUGAGCUUAGAUGUCUGCCUGUCCAGGAAACAAAAAGCUGUGGUCUCAGGCAUUUAGCUAGCGGGAAACAGUAUCCUCUGGGUAAAUCAGAAGAGAGCCUGGAAUGCUGAUCCUCUGGCCUCAGCAAAGCCUUCGGCUGACCACUUCCCUGGCUGACAUCACACUCUGCUAAGCUGCUUCCUGUUUCAACCCACAGAAACUUCAGGUGCCACAUGCUGUUUUGUUACACAGCACCAGCUAACUGAUACAGUAUACAAUGAGAUGUUUCCAAUGUGUAGGCUAUAUAUAUUUUGCCAGUUUAUAAAAUCUUUCAAUAGUGAUGAUGAUGAACUGUCUUGCCCAUGAAACCUUCAAACACAUUGCUCUUUUUCUUUUUUUUUUUUUUGGUACUGGGGAUUGAACUCAUGACCUUGUGUUUGCCAGGCAGGCACUUACAACACUGAGCUAAACCCCUGGCUUGCACUGUUCUUUUUCAACCAUUUCUCAAUCCAAAAGAACUACAAUACUGUUUUGAUGAGACUACAGAGACAUAAAGUGAUAAAAGGAAGAAUCAAAAUGCAAUCAUCUCCCCAGAAUUCUACAGGGUAAGAAACAUGCUCUAGGGAACACUAGACACAUGGCACAUACUUUGGAAAACUCACC